AUUGAACGCUGGCGGCAUGCCUUACACAUGCAAGUCGAACGGUAACAGGUCUUCGGAUGCUGACGAGUGGCGAACGGGUGAGUAAUACAUCGGAACGUGCCCGAUCGUGGGGGAUAACGGAGCGAAAGCUUUGCUAAUACCGCAUACGAUCUACGGGAGAAAGCAGGGGACCUUCGGGCCUUGCGCUAUCAGAUGAGCCUAGGUCGGAUUAGCUAGUUGGUGGGGUAAAGGCUCACCAAGGCGACGAUCCGUAACUGGUCUGAGAGGAUGAUCAGUCACACUGGAACUGAGACACGGUCCAGACUCCUACGGGAGGCAGCAGUGGGGAAUAUUGCACAAUGGGGGAAACCCUGAUGCAGCAACGCCGCGUGGAGGAUGACGCAUUUCGGUGUGUAAACUCCUUUUAUAAGGGAAGAUAAUGAC
rnacentral:rRNA from 1 species